GAAACUACAGAAAAUAUAAUGAGAUAAGAAAUCUUUAUUUUACAUUUAUAUCCUUUUAAAUCUUUAAUUGUGUACAUGACUUCAUAUAUCUUCCCCAGAUGUGUCUUCUGAAGCAGCUGGAGACUGAAGCACAUGUCUCUGUUUUCUCUCCAUUGAGUCUCACUGAGAAAGACUUGAGAUGUGACCUCGCAGUAGCUCUGAUCUCUGGUCAGAAACAGACUGAUGAUCCUGCUUCAGAAGAGCGGUUUGACCCUGGUGACCUCAGACUGAGCGUGUUACUGAGCUGCCGCAACACUGUGGGCAAAAAGCUGAGAAAAUGACUACAUGCGGAUCAGAUUCACAUCGAUGAUCAAAAGAUGGAGUUGACUGCUUCCAUCUAAACCACUUCCUGGAUCGACAUUUCAUUUGAUAAUGUUAGGCAGGUUUGAUUUAUAAGUUGUUUAAUGCUUAAUGAUGGCAUUAUUCUACAUAUGCAUUUGCUUACAUACUUUCAGCCAUAGCUGGUUUCUGCUUCUUCUUCACCUGGUUUUAAUCCAGAGAUUCAGUACUCUUUCAGAAGAUGUGUAAUAGCGCCUCCUACCAUAUAACAGUGUGCUUUUUCUACCCACUCACUAUUAGUGUAUUGUUAAAGUCACAGUGAAACUGAAAUAGUGUCUGAAAUCUUUUCUUCUAUAUUGUGACGUACAUAUGAGUGUAAUGGAUUAUCAAAAAUGACUAAAUGUAGGGCAGGACUCGGCUCUCUGAUAUCCCCCUUGAAUCAGACUCCUUCUCCUGAAUAUUGUUGUUUCAUUAAACUGUUAUGAGAACAUUAAUGAUGUCUGCUAUGUUUGGUUCUGUUCUGUUUCUGUUUAUUGCUGCAGUGAGAACCAUGCUGCCAAUACAAACCGUGUGCUAACUGUCAGUCAUCUUUGUCGAUAGUGGUCCUGACAGAAAUACCAAUUCAAAACAGCAAGAUAGAAAAAUGUGUUAGAAUAUAUUACUAAAUAUUCAAGGUUAAUAACAUAAACUUUGGCAGCCCUAAAGAACAUUUUUAGUCUUUCUUUUCUCUCAAACCUUCCCCAGAUCCUUGUUUGAAAACCCUUGGGUUUUAUAAACCUCACAUAAGAAGAUGGACUGAUGGAGAAGAAUACAGAACCUGUGAUGAGACUGACACGACGAGAGUCGGAGAGACUCACAGGUGACGGCGAGGACAGCGAGGUUAGACUCCUCUCUGGAGGGAUACUGAACAGAAAUUGCAGCGUUUCAUGGCGUUGUUUAUGACAGCUUUGAAUAAAUUUGUAUGAGUCACACUGUUGAAGUGUUUC
ensembl:lncRNA